rnacentral:rRNA from 1 species
UACGGGGGGGGGCAAGCGUUGUUCGGAAUUACUGGGCGUAAAGGGCUCGUAGGCGGCCAACUAAGUCGGACGUGAAAUCCCCAGGCUCAACCUGGGAACUGCGUCCGAUACUGGAUGGCUUGGAUCCGGGAGAGGGAUGCAGAAUUCCAGGUGUAGCGGUGAAAUGCGUAGAUAUCGGGAGGAACACCGGUGGCGAAGGCGGCAUCCUGGACCGACAUUGACGCUGAGGCGCGAAAGCCAGGGGAGCAAACGGG